rnacentral:lncRNA from 1 species
ACAUCUCUCUCUCCUCUCCUGAGUCUCUCUCCUCACUGCACCUGAAUCCUCUCUACUGACAACAUGGGUUGUUGUGGCUGUGGUGGCUGUGGCUGUGGCGGCUGUGGAGGCUGUGGCGGCUGUGGCUGUGGUGGCUGUGGUGGCUGUGGUGGCUGUGGCAGCUGUGGCUGUGGUGGCUGUGGCGGCUGUGGCUGUGGCGGCUGUGGCUGUGGUGGCUGUGGCUGUGGUGGCUGUGGUGGUUGUGGCUGUGGUGGCUGUGGUGGCUGUGGCUGCUGUGGUGGUUGCUGUGGUUGCUGUGGCUGCUGCAAGCCUACUGUAGUCUGCUGUUGCCGUCGCACCUGCUGCCGCUCCUGUGGCUGUGGCUCCUGUGGCUGUGGCUGUGGCUGUGGGAAGGGUUGUUGUCAGCAGAAAUGCUGCUGCCAGCAGAAGUGUGGCUGCAAGAAGUGCUGCUGCUAGCAUGGUUCUUGGCUCUGGUUCUAAGCUACGAAACGCUUGGGGCCUUUCUCAUUGCAUUUGGUAAGACUUUAUGGCCACUGUUGACUUUCCGUCCUUACCUACCCAUCCUGUUGGUUCCCCUCCUUCUCAUCUACCCACUGGAAAUGCUCUUUCUGCCUUUUGUGUUCUGAAUUUUCAGGCUUGUUUCUUCACUUAAAAAAAAAAAUCAAUGCUCGUAUGAUUUCUUCUUCCUGUCUUCUGGAACUUAUUACUCAAUACGUAUAUAUUUGCUGUGAUCUUUCUAAUCUUGACUAGCAUAUAUUCUCAACAUCAUGGGUAAAGGCAAAGCUGCUUGAGUCAAAAAAUAUAUUUAUAUUAUGAGCUUAACCAUGAAAAUCCCUAAUAGGUCACUUCAUUGUAAAAAAUUAAGUUAUGGCUAACUUUUUACUCUUUUACAAUAUGCAUUCACUAACUUCUUUCCUACCUGUAUAACUUUGUUUAAAAGAAAAGCAACUCAUUGUCAACAAAUAAAUAAUAAUAAAAAAAAAAACCUAACUUA